rnacentral:rRNA from 1 species
UACGAAGGGGGCUAGCGUUGUUCGGAAUUACUGGGCGUAAAGCGCGUGUAGGCGGGGCUUUAAGGCAGGGGUGAAAUGCCAAGGCUCAACCUUGGAACUGCCUUUGAUACUGGAGACCUUGAGUCCGGGAGAGGUGAGUGGAAUUGCGAGUGUAGAGGUGAAAUUCGUAGAUAUUCGCAAGAACACCAGUGGCGAAGGCGGCUCACUGGCCCGGAACUGACGCUGAGAUGCGAAAGCGUGGGGAGCAAACAGG